rnacentral:SRP_RNA from 2 species
GUUUGGGUCCUAUGCAAUGGGAAUCUGUGAACCCUGUCAGGUCCGGAAGGAAGCAGCAGUAAGCAGAACCUCUCAUGUGCCAUGGGGUCGCCUGAACCGA